rnacentral:rRNA from 1 species
GUGGGGAAUAUUGGACAAUGGGGGGAACCCUGAUCCAGCCAUGCCGCGUGUGUGAAGAAGGCCUUUUGGUUGUAAAGCACUUUAAGCGAGGAGGAGGCUACCGAGAUUAAUACUCUUGGAUAGUGGACGUUACUCGCAGAAUAAGCACCGGCUAACUCUGUGCCAGCAGCCGCGGUAAUACAGAGGGUGCGAGCGUUAAUCGGAUUUACUGGGCGUAAAGCGUGCGUAGGCGGCUUUUUAAGUCGGAUGUGAAAUCCCCGAGCUUAACUUGGGAAUUGCAUUCGAUACUGGGAAGCUAGAGUAUGGGAGAGGAUGGUAGAAUUCCAGGUGUAGCGGUGAAAUGCGUAGAGAUCUGGAGGAAUACCGAUGGCGAAGGCAGCCAUCUGGCCUAAUACUGACACUGAGGUGCGAAAGCAUGGGGAGCAAACAGGAUUAGAAACCCGGGUAGUCC